UGGCAAGUCCUUCUAAAGGCAAUCAAGGCCAAUCAAACUUUCUAACUCCAACAAGUCCUAAGGUCAAGGAUGAGGCAAUUGAAACCACAAUAAACAAUUCCAUCUUGGUUGACAUUUUCUUUCAUUCCCUUUUUUCUUCUUUUCUUUUCUUUUUCCAAUUGACCAGCUAAACACACUUUCCUGUUUCCACUAAAAUAAACAAUAGCAAGAAAAAAAAAAUUUCAAAACCUCAAGAUUUCAAUAUUUUUCAUACAUGAUUUCAGUACAACAUAAUUCCAUUCUACAUCCAACAAUAAAGACUAAAAGAUAUUGGUAACAAUUCAUUAUAUUGCUGGUUAAGGUGUAUGCCCAGUCUCAGAGACUCAAUCACCCCACACAAGUGCCAUGAUUGUUGGGUUGCACAACAAUCACGUGAUUGUGCAAAAAAGAUUUGAUCUAAACCACUCAAAUCAUGGGAAAGAUUGAAUCACUGAAUAUAAACCACUGCCUCCAAAUCUGGGUGAUUGUCCAGGAAAGCCAAACCACAUUCUUCCCUUGGGUUCUAUUUCAUGUCUCAUGGUACCAGCACUCCUGUAAUUCUCACUAGACCAUAGGUAAAUACAAAAUAAGGGUGCAGGAUUGUACAAGAAAAUGUAAUAUUGCAUAUUGCAAACUUCCACACUUCAAGAAGUUUAUGGCAAACCUUAAACAACAUAAUUUUAUAAAAGUUGGCAAAAAUACAGAAAUAAUCAAACUCAAUUCAUGAAAAGCGUAGGAUCAAAUUUAGAACCAGGUAAUGUUGGAAUAGUAGCUUGUCAGAAUGCAUGAGACCUUAGAUAUUUUAAAUGUCUAUUCAUAGCAAUAAAUCUUGAUAGAGAACAACGAUAAAUAUAAUGUUUCUAAAACACAAGCUACAAAUAGCCUAUAAAUUGUUAGGCAAGGAUCCCUCCAUGCAAUUCAGAUCAAUUCAAAAAGAGUACGUUCCCUAUAUUAAUCCUUCUUCCUUUUGGCCCCUUGUAGAAAGAUUGCUUAGUUCUGCAAGCAAUAACUGUGCAUAAACCAAAAUGAUCAAGUGAAAGCUGACUUCCCAAAGAACAAGUAUCUAAAUGCUAACAAUGAGUUGAUGAAGAAAUUAGACACUCCUAGAAAAAGAAAAAAUACUAAUAAUAAUGACUGUCUUUUCAAUUAUUGUGCAAAAUAAUCUAGGGUUGAAUCAUC
rnacentral:lncRNA from 1 species